GUGCAAGUCCCGUGGCUGUAUUAUAGAGUGCUCAGCUCAGUGUUUCACAGUGGAGAAGAACGUACGUUGAUAUGCUUUCUGGGUUUGAGAGCUCUUCCUUCUUCAUCCAGAAGACAGAGCUGGGUAGAGAAAAGGAUAACCAGCAAGACAAAGGCUUUAUCCCAAUAUUAUAUGUUUAAAACUCAAAGAGAUAUGGUGAAAAUGGGACUUUAUUAAAUUUGCCUGAUUGGAAACAAACAUGCAAAUUGUACAAGAUUCCUAAAUGUGCCAAAAUGGCAAGGAGAGAGCCCUGACGAGCAUGGAGAAUA
rnacentral:lncRNA from 1 species